AAAGCAACUUUUUUCUCUCUUUUUUUCUCUGUGUGUGUGUGUCUGUGUGUGUGUGUGUGUGUAGGGCCUGUUCAUCUUCCUGAUAUAUGGGGUGUACAACACAGAGGUUCGGAGCACAGUUAAAAGGAUCAAGGAGAGAAGAAAAGCGCUACGUUUUUCAAACUGUGCCAGCUCCAGACCCUCCAGCUCAUUAACCAGCUCCCGGCCCGCCAGCUCCCCCACGCCUUCCCCCCAGGGCCCCCAAGGUCCCAGCCUGGACGAAGGGGGGGACAAGACCUGCUCCGGCCAGCCCAGCCCACUCCCCAACCCCACCUACCCCCACACCCUAGGCCUUGUGGAGGAGAACGCCAACAGAGGUGAGCCACAAGCUCCCUCACCCACAGUUCCGAUGACAAUACUACCUACAGGGGUGAAUCGAUGACUACCUCCCUCAGUGCUCUCUGACCCUCAUCCUGAAUGCUCCUUUUCUGAAUUUCACUCAGAAAAGGAGAUCUCAGGCUGUAUAUUGCGUACCAUGGUCUGAGAGCUGAAUGAAAGGGGAGAAAAGACGGCUGAAAGAAUAUACUCAAGCUUUUCACAAAAAAAAAACCUAAAUCUUUCAAAAAAUAUUUAGACACUCAUUCUUCACUUCAAAAACAUAUUACCCUGUGUGGGAGUGUGGCCAAGUGUAGUUUGUAGUCCUACAGACUCCCAUGGACAUAUUGCCCACAGUGGCAUGGGUACGCAUCUCACCCCAGUCUGUACUUUCUUGCUGUCUUCCCCUCUACAACCUGUACCCUGCCUACCUUCCAACUGUUUAAGUAAAUUACGAAAAGGAGGACAGAGUUCUUGUCCUCCUUUUUGUAAAUUUAAUAAAAAAU
rnacentral:lncRNA from 1 species